GGAUUCCUUGGGACGUCCUUACCCAAUUGAAAUGUAAAAUGUUUAGGGUAGGGGUAUUCAACUGUUACCCUACGAGGUCCGAGUGGAGGCAGCUGGUUUUCUGUUCUACCUGAUAACUAAAUGUCACCCACCUGGCAUCCAAUGUCUAAACCAGUCCCUGAUUAGAGGGGAACAAUGAGGGAGAAAAAUACAGUGGAACUGGCUCCGAGGUCAAGAGUUGCGUUUUGAUGGGAGUAGGACACAUACUAAAAAUAAGGUUUAAGGUAUGAACGUCCCAAUGAUACCAGAUAGCACUAACCCUGUUGGUGCGGAGAAGAGCCUUGAUAGUGGUGGGCGGGAACAGGAUACAUCCUCUCAUUGGUUUCCACAAGAUAAGACAGCCACAAAGUCAAAAUUGGCUGUAUCGUAACAUUUCAUGAAAACAAACGUGCGUUUGUGUUAAUAUACAGUUAGCAGUGUGGGUAAGAUUAGUUUUAAAAUCAGAUUUUAAAUUGUAGAUAUAGGCGGGGUUUAUGACUUUAACUAGUGACAACCAUUGUCAUUGGCCAGACCGCGUGUGUGUAAUUUACACAGUAGGUGAUGCGCGGCUCAGUCAAAACAUUGUUACCUGUUGUUGAUGCUUGAAAGAUUCCACGGCUUGUACUCAUGGCGAAAAGGCGAGCUGAAGACGUUUUGUUCCACGACACGCCUGUUAAAAGAUCAUGUUUUCGUCCAUUUGACAAAUUUGAUACGCAGUUAGAAAGCAUGGCUGCAGCCGGGUGCGUGAGUCCGCCAUCUCUGCUCGCUUUGUUGGGGAGACGCUGCAAAAAGAGACCGUAUUAUUUCGAAGAUCAGGAGGAACAUCAAGAAACACUUAAACCGCGCAAGCUGUCAAAUAGUGAACAUCGGGUCAGUGCACCACCGAGUGUGCUGGUAAAGAAUUCUGGAAGUAUCCGAGAGAGUGCAUCUGCGGACUCUGGUUGCUCAACGGUGACCUCUAAGAAACGUGCACGAGAUAACACUGUCACAAUAUACGAUACUCCAAGGAUUGUCACACACAAAGACGAUGAUGGCAAUGACCUAUGCACUUUCAACUCAUUCCAGUACUGGAGGGUCCCUCUACCCCAGCUGGACAUUUCACUCCUUCAGAAUGGAAACCUCUCUGGAUCAAAUGGAGAACCCCCUGACAAAGAAUUAUCCUGUGAAGCCAUGGAGUCAUAAAUGUUAAUUCAUGAAGGUCUGCCCACCAUGGAACUCUUAUGAGAGGUGGCCACCAGUGGAGGCUGGUGGGAGAAGCUAUAGGAGGACUGUCUUUGUCCCAUGGCUUGAAUAGAAUUAAUGGAACGGAGUCAAACGUGCUUUACAUGUGUCUGAUACCAUUCCAUUUAUUAUAUUCCAGCCAUUACAAGGAGCCUGUCCUAUAGCUCCUCCAACCAGACACACUGCCCAUCAGAGCCAUAGCUAUAGAUCUGUACUGUGUAGACCAUGGGGUUCUCAAAGUGGGGUACGUGGACACCUGGCCAGAUCUCAAAAGAUAUACUGAAUAUUACAUUUGAACCUUAAAUGUUAUAAAAUUAAUAUUACAAAAAACAUAUUAAAUUGCUUUUGGCCAAAGGA